GAUGAAGAACGUAGCGAAAUGCGAUAAGUAAUGUGAAUUGCAGAAUUCAGUGAAUCAUCGAGUCUUUGAACGCACAUUGCGCCCCCUGGUAUUCCGGGGGGCAUGCCUGUCCGAGCGUCAUUGCUGCCCUCAAGCACGGCUUGUGUGUUGGGCCUCCGUCCUCCUCCCGGGGGACGGGCCCCAAAGGCAGCGGCGGCACCGCGUCCGGUCCUCGAGCGUAUGGGGCUUCGUCACCCGCUCUUGUAGGCCCGGCCGGCGCUUGCCGACACAUCAAUCUUUUUUCCAGGUUGACCUCGGAUCAGGUAGGGAUACCCGCUGAACUUAAGCAUAUCAAUAGGCGGAGGA
rnacentral:misc_RNA from 1 species